AUGAAGUACUAGUUUCCUGAGGUUUCACAGACUGAAUCUGGCAGAAGAUAAGAGCUACAUUACUAGGCACACAGCAUGGAGGGCAAACAGAUCACAACGUUUUAGGGUGGGAUUUUCAAAGGGCCCUAAGGGUGUUAGGACUAACUCGCACGCUGACCUGAAAUUGAACGCACACUCAGGCUGUACUGGAGACCCUGAAGAAAAACAUUGAAGCUGGAUCUUUUUCAACCCAUUACUUUUUGCAAUACCGUAUGUAUCUGUACAAGUACGGCAAACUCAGAACACCUGCAGGAAGGCAAGAUGGAUUCUGUUCUGGCAUGUGUACCAUCAGCAGUGUGGUUAGUGAAUGGAAAACUGCCCUUGAUGCCAGUAGUCAUUGGAUCAGGCCCUGGCCAAACCAGCUGUGAGAGGAGGGAGGUUGACACCACCCGGCAGCCUCCUGACCAUGAGUGACCCACCGGUGCAGGAGAGCCCAGGAGGAAUUCCAGCAGGAGCACAUCUCCUCACUGUGAGCCCUGCAGCACACCCUGGGCAAGAGACUGGAGAAGGACAUCCAGCUAUGGCACAGGAGAUGCUGGAUCAGGGCCACACCAUCUGCACGGCUGUACAAGCGCUCAUCACUGACACAGUGCCUGCUCCACCCCUUGCUGCUGCUCCUGCCCCUGCUCCUGUCCCUCCUGCUUCUCCCCCUAGUCCCACCCCAUGGCCACUGAGGUCCCCACACCUGAAGUGGUGGGACCACCAGAGCCAGGAGCCACUCCCAGCCUCAGCCCUGAGCCUCUCCUCCCCCUGCCUUCUCUCCUCCCCUCUCGCAGGUUCUUUCCCCAGUCUGUCCCCAGUUAUUUCUACCCCAAUUUUAAAAACAUAGAUGGACCAUUGAAAAAU